rnacentral:rRNA from 1 species
CAGGCUGCAACUCACCUGCAUGAAGUCGGAAUUGCUAGUAAUCGCGGAUCAGAAUGCCGCGGUGAAUACGUUCCCGGGUCUUGUACACACCGCCCGUCACACCAUGGGAGUCGGGAAUGCCCGAAGCCGGUGGCCCAAUCGAAAGAAGGGAGCCGUCGAAGGCAGGCCGGAUGACUGGGGUGAAGUCGUAACAAGGUAUC